AUUGAACGCUGGCGGCAGGCCUAACACAUGCAAGUCGAGCGGAUGAAGGGAGCUUGCUCCUGGAUUCAGCGGCGGACGGGUGAGUAAUGCCUAGGAAUCUGCCUGGUAGUGGGGGAUAACGUCCGGAAACGGGCGCUAAUACCGCAUACGUCCUGAGGGGGAAAGUGGGGGAUCUUCGGACCUCACGCUAUCAGAUGAGCCUAGGUCGGAUUAGCUAGUUGGUGGGGUAAAGGCCUACCAAGGCGACGAUCCGUAACUGGUCUGAGAGGAUGAUCAGUCACACGGGAACUGAGACACGGUCCAGACUCCUACGGGAGCCAGCAGUGGGGAAUUUUGGACAAUGGGCGAAAGCCUGAUCCAGCCAUCCCGCGUGUGUGAAGAAGGUCUUCGGAUUGUAAAGCACUUUAGGUGGGAAGGAAGGGCAGUAAGUUAAUACCUUGCUGUUUUGACGUUACCAAAAGAAUAAGCACCGGCUAACUUCGUG
rnacentral:rRNA from 1 species